UACGGAAGGCAGCAGUGGGGAAUAUUGCACAAUGGGCGCAAGCCUGAUGCAGCCAUGCCGCGUGUAUGAAGAAGGCCUUCGGGUUGUAAAGUACUUUCAGUCGUGAGGAAGGUGUUAAGGUUAAUAACCUUAGCAAUUGACGUUAGCGACAGAAGAAGCACCGGCUAACUCCGUGCCAGCAGCCGCGGUAAUACGGAGGGUGCGAGCGUUAAUCGGAAUUACUGGGCGUAAAGGGCACGCAGGCGGUUAAUUAAGUUGGAUGUGAAAUCCCCGGGCUUAACCUGGGAAUGGCAUUCAAGACUGGUUAGCUAGAGUCUUGUAGAGGGGGUAGAAUUCCAUGUGUAGCGGUGAAAUGCGUAGAGAUGUGGAGGAAUACCGGGUGGCGAAGGCGGCCCCUGGGACAAAGGACUGACGCUCAUGUGCGAAAGCGUGGGGAGCAAACAGGGAU
rnacentral:rRNA from 1 species